rnacentral:rRNA from 1 species
AGAGUUUGAUCCUGGCUCAGGAUGAACGCUGGCUGUGUGCCUAAUACAUGCAUGUCGAGCGGAAGUAGCAAUACUUUAGCGGCGAAUGGGUGAGUAACACGUGCUUAAUCUACCUCUUAGAUUGGAAUACCUAAUGGAAACAUUGGUUAAUGCCGGAUACGCAUGGAGUCGCAUGACUCCGUUGUGAAAGGGGCCUUUAAAGCUCCACUAAGAGAUGAGGGUGCGGAACAUUAGCUAGUUGGUGAGGUAACGGCCCACCAAGGCUAUGAUGUUUAGCCGGGUCGAGAGACUGAACGGCCACAUUGGGACUGAGAUACGGCCCACACUCCUACGGGAGGCAGCAGUAGGGAAUAUUCCACAAUGAGCGAAAGCUUGAUGGAGCGACACAGCGUGCACGAUGAAGGUCUUAUGGAUUGUAAAGUGCUGUUGCAAGGGAAGAAAAAGUAGUUGAGGAAAUGCUUCUACAUUGACGGUACCUUGUUAGAAAGCGAUGGCUAACUAUGUGCCAGCAGCCGCGGUAAUACAUAGGUCGCAAGCGUUAUCCGGAAGUAUUGGGCGUAAAGCGUUCGUAGGCUGUUUAUUAAGUCUGGAGUCAAAUCCCAGGGCUCAACCCUGGCUCGCUUUGGAUACUGGUAAACUAGAGUUGGAUAGAGGUAAGCGGAAUUCCAUGUGAAGCGGUGAAAUGCGUAGAUAUAUGGAAGAACACCAAAGGCGAAGGCAGCUUACUGGGUUUAUACUGACGCUGAGGAACGAAAGCGUGGGGGAGCAAACAGGAUUAGAUACCCUGGUAGUCCACGCCGUAAACGAUGAUCAUUAGUCGGCAGAGAACUGUUGACGCAGCUAACGCAUUAAAUGAUCCGCCUGAGUAGUAUGCUCGCAAGAGUAAAACUUAAAGGAAUUGACGGGGACCCGCACAAGCGGUGGAGCAUGUGGUUUAAUUUGAAGAUACGCGGAGAACCUUACCCACUCUUGACAUCCUUCGCAAAGCUAUAGAGAUAUAGUGGAGGUUAACGGAGUGACAGAUGGUGCAUGGUUGUCGUCAGCUCGUGUCGUGAGAUGUUUGGUCAAGUCCUGCAACGAGCGCAACCCCUAUCUUUAGUUACUAACGAGUCAUGUCGAGGACUCUAGAGAUACUGCCUGGGUAACUGGGAGGAAGGUGGGGAUGACGUCAAAUCAUCAUGCCUCUUACGAGUGGGGCAACACACGUGCUACAAUGGUCGGUACAAAGAGAAGCAAUAUGGUGACAUGGAGCAAAUCUCAAAAAGCCGAUCUCAGUUCGGAUUGAAGUCUGCAAUUCGACUUCAUGAAGUCGGAAUCGCUAGUAAUCGCAGAUCAGCUAUGCUGCGGUGAAUACGUUCUCGGGUCUUGUACACACCGCCCGUCACACCAUGGGAGCUGGUAAUACCCAAAGUCGGU